CCCUUAGACGUUCUGGGCCGCACGCGCGCUACACUGACCAGUGCAACAAGCAUCCGUCCUUGGCCGACAGGCCCGGGCAAUCUUUGAACGCUGGUCGUGAUGGGGAUAGACUUUUGCAAUUUUUGGUCUUCAACGAGGAAUUCCUAGUAAACGCAAGUCAUCAACUUGCAUUGAUUACGUCCCUGCCCUUUGUACACACCGCCCGUCGCACCUACCGAUUGAAUGGUCCGGUGAAGCCUCCGGAUUGGCGCGCACCUCGGUGCCGCCGAGAAGUUGGCUAAACCUUACCAUUUAGAGGAAGGUGAAUUCGUAACA
rnacentral:rRNA from 1 species